AGACAGCAGCAGCCGCGGGAAUACAGAGGGUGCGAGCGUUAAUCGGAUUUACUGGGCGUAAAGCGUGCGUAGGCGGCUUUUUAAGUCGGAUGUGAAAUCCCUGAGCUUAACUUAGGAAUUGCAUUCGAUACUGGGAAGCUAGAGUAUGGGAGAGGAUGGUAGAAUUCCAGGUGUAGCGGUGAAAUGCGUAGAGAUCUGGAGGAAUACCGAUGGCGAAGGCAGCCAUCUGGCCUAAUACUGACGCUGAGGUACGAAAGCAUGGGGAGCAAACAGGAUUAGAUACCCCCGUAGUCCCUGUCUCUUAUAA
rnacentral:rRNA from 1 species